rnacentral:rRNA from 1 species
UACAGAGGGGGCUAGCGUUAUUCGGAAUUAUUGGGCGUAAAGGGCGCGUAGGCGGCCAUGCGUGUCUUCCGUGAAAUCCCUCGGCUUAACUGAGGACGUGCGGAAGAAACUGCAAGGCUCGAGUCCGGGAGAGGGGGGUGGAAUUCCCGGUGUAGCGGUGAAAUGCGCAGAUAUCAGGAAGAACACCCGUGGCUAAGGCGGCUCUCUAGUACGGUACUGACGCUGAGACGCGAAAGCGUGGGGAGCGAACAGG